rnacentral:lncRNA from 1 species
UUUUUGUAUUUUUAGUAGAGAUGGGGUUUCACCAUGUUGGCCAGGCAGGUCUCGAACUCUUAUUUUAUUUAUUUUAUUUUAUUUGUUUGUUUUUGAGACGGAGUCUCACUAUGUCGCCCAGGCUGAAGUGCAGAGGCGCGGUCUUGGCUCACUGCAAGUUUCGCUUCCCAGGAGAAUCGCUUGAACCCGGGAAGCAGAGGUUGCAGUGAGCUGAGAUUGCGCCAUUGCACUCCAGCCUGGGCAACAAGAGCGAAAAUCUAUCUCAAAAAAAAAAAGAAAAGAAAAGAAAUUAUUUAAUACCCUUUGGUUGAACUUUAAUCAAAUUUUUUCGGCCGGGCGCUGUGGCUCAUGCCUGUAAUCCCAGCACUUUGGUAGGCUGAGGUGGGCGGAUCACAAGGUCAGGAGAUCGAGACCAUCCUGGCUAACACGGUGAAACCCCGUCUGU